CCGGUCACCGAGUGUUUCCAAAAGUGCCAUUCUUGAGACGACGUGGGUGACUCAUUAGAUGCAACAGACUCAAUGUCACGGCCAUGUCGACCUUCGAAAUCUCCAUGUCGUUCCUCUUUGUCGAUCCUGACGAUAUUCUCUAUUGGAGAAAGAUGAAGAAGAAGGCGUAGAGCGUGUGAUCGUGCUUGAUUGGCGAGUUUCUGACCCGUAGUUGGACAUUUUCACUUCUGCCGAAAUCGGCCGUCAAGCACACCGAGAGGAGGAUUGGGAGGAGGUUAGCGAAGCUUCCGAAGAGAAGAGGUUUUGUUUCGUAAUCCCUAGCGUCGUCAUACUUCCGGUCGCUUGUGUUGAUGGCAACGGAACCAGAUGUUGCAAGAAUGCAACCGUCGUGCUAGCUAGUAGAAUAGCGUAGGUGAAUACAAGAUGUCUCUACGUAUAGAAGGUUAUUGCCUUCGGUCUGAUCAGAGAAGUGGUCAGGGCGUGGUCGCUGUCGAACAGAAGCUCGAAGCUGUGCGCCGUACAAGCAGAGGACGUGCUUUGUUGAGAGUAAUAAUUUGUAGAUAGUGUAGAUAGAUGUGUACAGUUGGUUAUUUCUACUUUGUAAGUAGUUUUACAAUAGUUUGUGUAGCUUACUACUGUUUCUUCCAUAGCCUGAUUUUGCACUGUCCCGAGGUAAUCCGGGCUAAGCAAUGUUUAUAACCGUGUAGAGUUG